rnacentral:rRNA from 1 species
AAUGAACGCUGGCGGCAGGCCUAACACAUGCAAGUCGAACGGAUCCUUCGGGAUUAGUGGCGGACGGGUGAGUAACGCGUGGGAACAUACCCUUUGGUACGGAAUAGCCUCGGGAAACUGGGAGUAAUACCGUAUGUGGUCGAGAGACGAAAGAUUUAUCGCCAAAGGAUUGGCCCGCGUUGGAUUAGGUAGUUGGUGGGGUAAUGGCCUACCAAGCCGACGAUCCAUGGCUGGUUUGAGAGGAUGAUCAGCCACACUGGGACUGAGACACGGCCCAGACUCCUACUGGAGGCAGCAGUCGGGAAUCUUAGACGAUGGGGGAAACCCUGAUCGAGCCAUGCCGCGUGAUCGAUGAAGGCCUUAGGGUUGUAAAGAUCUUUCAGGUGGGAAGAUAAUGACUGUACCACCAGAAGAAGCCCCGGCUAACUCCGUGCCAGCCGCCGCCGUAA